rnacentral:rRNA from 1 species
GUGAGGAAUAUUGGUCAAUGGACGAGAGUCUGAACCAGCCAAGUAGCGUGCAGGAUGACGGCCCUAUGGGUUGUAAACUGCUUUUAUACAGGGAUAAAGUGACGUACGUGUACGUUUUUGUAGGUACUGUAUGAAUAAGGACCGGCUAAUUCCGUGCCAGCAGCCGCGGUAAUACGGAAGGUCCGGGCGUUAUCCGGAUUUAUUGGGUUUAAAGGGAGCGCAGGCUGAUGAUUAAGCGUGACGUGAAAUGUAGCCGCUCAACGGCUGAACUGCGUCGCGAACUGGUUAUCUUGAGUGAGUUCGAUGUUGGCGGAAUUCGUGGUGUAGCGGUGAAAUGCUUAGAUAUCACGAAGAACUCCGAUUGCGAAGGCAGCCAACAAGGCCUUUACUGACGCUAAAGCUCGAAGGUGCGGGUAUCGAACAGG